rnacentral:rRNA from 1 species
UACGUAGGGUGCGAGCGUUGUCCGGAUUUAUUGGGCGUAAAGAGCUCGUAGGCGGCUCGUCGCGUCAGCUGUGAAAACCGGCAGCUUAACUGUGGGCUUGCAGCUGAUACGGGCGGGCUAGAGUUCGGUAGGGGAGACUGGAAUUCCUGGUGUAGCGGUGAAAUGCGCAGAUAUCAGGAGGAACACCGGUGGCGAAGGCGGGUCUCUGGGCCGAUACUGACGCUGAGGAGCGAAAGCGUGGGGAGCGAACAGG